UACGUAGGGUGCAAGCGUUGUCCGGAAUCAUUGGGCGUAAAGCGCGCGUAGGUGGCCAUUUAAGUCCGCUGUGAAAGUCAAAGGCUCAACCUUUGAAAGCCGGUGGAUACUGGAUGGCUAGAGUACGGAAGAGGCGAGUGGAAUUCCUGGUGUAGCGGUGGAAUGCGCAGAUAUCGGGAGGAACACCGGUGGCGAAGGCGGUUCUCUGGGCCUUACCUGACGCUGAGGAGCGAAAGUGUGGGGAGCGAACAGG
rnacentral:rRNA from 1 species